UACGGAGGGUGCAAGCGUUAAUCGGAAUUACUGGGCGUAAAGCGCACGCAGGUGGCUGAGAAAGUCGAUUGUGAAAGCCCUGGGCUUAACCUGGGAAUUGCAGUCGAAACUACUCGGCUAGAGUAUGGGAGAGGACAGUGGAAUUCCCGGGUGUAGCGGUGAAAUGCGUAGAUAUCGGGAGGAACAUCAGUGGCGAAGGCGGCUGUCUGGCCCAAUCUGGACCACUCAGGU
rnacentral:rRNA from 1 species